UACGUAGGGGGCAAGCGUUGUCCGGAUUUAUUGGGCGUAAAGAGCGUGUAGGCGGCCUGACAGGUCUGCUGUGAAAACUCGAGGCUCAACCUCGAGAUGUCGGCGGAAACCGUCUGGCUAGAGUCCGGAAGAGGAGAGUGGAAUUCCUGGUGUAGCGGUGAAAUGCGCAGAUAUCAGGAAGAACACCUAUGGCGAAGGCAGCUCUCUGGGACGGUACUGACGCUGAGACGCGAAAGCGUGGGGAGGCGAACAGG
rnacentral:rRNA from 1 species